AAAACUUUCAACAACGGAUCUCUUGGUUCCGGCAUCGAUGAAGAACGCAGCGAAAUGCGAUAAGUAAUGUGAAUUGCAGAAUUCCGCGAAUCAUCGAGUCUUUGAACGCACAUUGCGCCCUUUGGUAUUCCGAAGGGCAUGCCUGUUCGAGCGUCAUUG
rnacentral:rRNA from 1 species